GCGGGGCUUCCACGGAGGCCUCCGUGUAGGCCGCAGUGAAGCCUGAACUCGAGUAGGGCCCAAGCCAGCCAGGAAGGAGGAGGCAGCCAGAGAGGCCUCCACUGUUCUCUGCAGCAGAAGACCCCCCUGCUGCCAGAUGUACAGACGAUUGGUACUUCUGAUGAAGAUGUUUUUGAAACCAACUAUCACUUAGGGAGUAUGUCAAGGUUCAGGCUUCAAGGUUCCUGUGCAAAGCUUCUAGUUUCAAGGUUCCUGUGCAGAGUGUGUUACCUCGUACUCAUGAGGAUUGAUUUUCAGCAAAUCGGCACCAUCAGCAUCUUAUCAGCUAUUUUACACGAUCAGCAUUCCAGUGACUGUUGUAGUAUGGAUGCCUGUGGGAGUUUGUUGUUAUAUGUGGAGUAUUGCUUUA